CCUACGGGAGGCAGCAGUGGGGAAUCUUGCGCAAUGGGCGAAAGCCUGACGCAGCAACGCCGCGUGCGGGAUGAAGGCCUUCGGGCUGUAAACCGCUUUCAGCAGGAACGAAAAUGACGGUACCUGCAGAAGAAGGAGCGGCCAACUACGUGCCAGCAGCCGCGGUGACACGUAGGCUCCAAGCGUUGUCCGGAUUUAUUGGGCGUAAAGAGCUCGUAGGCGGUCUAGUAAGUCGGGUGUGAAAACUCUGGGCUCAACCCGGAGACGCCAUCCGAUACUGUUAUGACUUGAGUUCAGGAGGGGAGCGGGGAAUUCCUAGUGUAGCGGUGAAAUGCGCAGAUAUUAGGAGGAACACCGGUGGCGAAGGCGCCGCUCUGGACUGAAACUGACGCUGAGGAGCGAAAGCAUGGGUAGCAAACAGGAUUAGAUACCCUGGUAGUCCAUGCCGUAAACGGUGGGCACUAGGUGUGGGUUUCAACUAACGAAAUCCGCGCCGUCGCUAACGCAUUAAGUGCCCCGCCUGGGGAGUACGGUCGCAAGACUAAAACUCAAAUGAAUUGACGG
rnacentral:rRNA from 1 species